rnacentral:rRNA from 1 species
UACGAAGGGGGCUAGCGUUGCUCGGAAUCACUGGGCGUAAAGCGCACGUAGGCGGCUUCUUAAGUCAGGGGUGAAAUCCUGGAGCUCAACUCCAGAACUGCCUUCGAUACUGAGAGUCUCGAGUCCGAGAGAGGUGAGUGGAACUGCGAGUGUAGAGGUGAAAUUCGUAGAUAUUCGCAAGAACACCAGUGGCGAAGGCGGCUCACUGGCUCGGUACUGACGCUGAGGUGCGAAAGCGUGGGGAGCAAACAGG